UUUCCUUAUAGUGUAAUUUGGCAAGCACGACAAGCUCUGGUCUUGUUAGUUUGGGUUCGAGUCCUGAUAAGGAAGCGGU
rnacentral:tRNA from 1 species